GAUGAAGAACGUAGCGAAAUGCGAUAAGUAAUGUGAAUUGCAGAAUUCAGUGAAUCAUCGAAUCUUUGAACGCACCUUGCACCCUUUGGCAUUCCGAAGGGUAUGCUCGUUUGAGUGUCAUUGUACUCUCACACUCUCCGAUCCUAUGGAUUCGGGGAGCGGUGGACUUGGGUGUUGCUGCCUUUCCCUGUGGCUCACCUCAAAUGCGUCAGUGCACCUCUUGGUUGGACAUAGUACGGCGUGAUAAGUGUCUUCGCCGGCACCUCGCAAGAGGGUGGCCGAUCGGGAGCUCUGCGCUUUCAAACCGUCUUCGGACAAUUUCUGACAUCUUGACCUCAAAUCGAGUAGGACUACCCGCUGAACUUAAGCAUAUCAAAAGCGGAGGA
rnacentral:misc_RNA from 1 species